CCAGGAUCGGACACUCGUUCAGAUAAUUAAUUCCUCCCUCCCGACACCUUCGCUGUCAUAGGGCAAACCUCGCCGCUCCGUUGUCGCACUCCGCGCCGGCGCUACUCCUGUCAGACUUCCCUCCAAGCCGGUGUCGCUCCCGUCGGCAUCUCCUCCUCCGCACGCCCGUGAGUCCGCCUCUCCCAUUUGCGUGUCCUAGCCGACUCAUGCGUUCGAGCCGGCCCCUCCCCGUGUGACAUUUUCUCGGCCUGAACCUCAUCGCCGCUGCUCCCACCUGAAUCGCCGGACUUGCUCCCUUUCUACUAUUCUCGGAAUUUGAUGCAGAAGAGCGACGUCGACGCUCCUUCCUGCAGGAAACCCUCUUGUCGCCGCCUGCUCUUGCCGGUGGGCUGCCUCCCACUUGCGCUGCCUCGUGCCGGUGUCGCUUCCCUCUCUCAUGCAAAAGGGUUGAUGCCUUAAUUUUGGGGAGCUUCUCGCAACAUCGACCGCACUCUGUCCUCCCUUUACGGCUGAAGACUCAUGCCACUGACAAUCUCAUGGACAUUAAGCAGCCACUCUCACGUAGGUUGCUAUUUCGAACAGUGGAGCAAUGAUGUUAGCUAGCCAUGGUGGCUCAACCUAUUAUCUGGAAUCUUGGGGUUUUCUAAGUAUGGGUGAUAUACUGAUAUUUUGAUAUGAUAAUCUUUGUUAGCCUGGGAGUUCAACAUGUCAGCCUGGGAAUUCUCUGAGCUCAAAUUUAGGUUUGUCUCAAUCAUUUUGCAAAAUAUGGUUUCUUGGAUUGUUGUUGUUGGAAUUGGCUAGUUUGCUAGUGGGUUAAUGCUUGUGAAUAUGAAAGUUCUUGUGUGAGAAAGGUAAAUCCAUAAUCGGGUGUUAUGUAUGUAAUUGCACCAAUUUUUGUGUGGGGUGUUAAUCUAAUGGCUUGAUAAUAAAUAUUUCUGUGCUUGAUGUUAAUCUGAUGGCUCGAUAGUAAAGCGAAGGAGAUAGGACUGAUUAUGAUUCUUACACUGCAUAAAUAUCUUUAUUUCAUUUUAAUUGGUAUGGGGUGUUGUUUAUAUUUACUAACUAUUCUUUCGCAUCAAUUUAUAUAUUCUGAAUAUAUUGGAUAUUGUGAAAGAAAAUUACUUACCUACUACAGAAAUUGUGUGAAUUAUUUGUCAUGUUAUGUGAAUUAUUUGCUUCUCAAUGUGUUCAAUUGUUUGCUUUGGCUUGGAUCUAGGUAGAUGUAUGUAAAUUUGUUUUCAUUUGUUUCCCAUCCAUAUUUUCAUGAUGUUGAUUAAUCCUGACACGUUAUAAAUGUAUUCCAGCUUCUUAUGUUUCUUUCUGUAUUCUUUUGAGAUAUGUAAAUACAUAAGCAGCUGGAAGAAUUAUUUUUCUAAUACAGGGUGUUAGGAACGUUUUGUUCUGUUGGGUCUUAUUUCCUCUGGCUCCAUGGAAAGGGAAAGUUAAGCAGCUGGAAGAAUACCAAUGAAUUGCUGAACUUUGAUCAUCCUUGUAGCCUUAUUGUUUUGUUCUGCUGGGUUUUAUUUCCUCUAGCUCCAUGGAAAUAUUAUGUUGUGGUAAUAGUUGUUUUCUGCAUGAAAUUGCAUCCUUUUCAAUCAAAUUGAUAGAUUUUUGGUUGAAUCCAUGUUGGAGUCAGAUGGUUGAAGUUGACAGUAAAUAGUUUAGAUAUAGUAUUUGUACAUAUAUUUUCUCCAAGUUUGUUAAUGCAGGAAUUAGUUGGUCUCCUUAUGAGAACUAAAUAUGAAAAGCAAAGGUAUGCCUUCCGCUGUUUUUGUUUAAUCAUUUGUAUUAUUAUUAUUUCAUAUAAGAGGUUAAAGUACUUGUACCACUUUUUAUGUUAUUUAGUUUUAUUUAUUUAUUUAUUUUUUUUUU